rnacentral:rRNA from 1 species
GUGUAGAUCGUGUGGUAGGCAAAUCCGCCACAUGUUUUGUUGAGACGUGAUGCGUAGACCCAAUGGGGUUGAUGGUGGUGAUCCUGUACUGUCGAGAAAAGCCUCUAGCGAUGUGUGUGUAUGGCCCGUACCCUAAACCGACACAGGUGGUCAGGUUGAAAAUACUAAGGCGUUCGGGUGAACUGUGGUUAAGGAAC